rnacentral:rRNA from 1 species
UACGUAGGGUGCAAGCGUUAAUCGGAAUUACUGGGCGUAAAGCGUGCGCAGGCGGUUUUGUAAGUCUGUCGUGAAAUCCCCCGGGCUCAACCUGGGAAUUGCGAUGGAGACUGCAAGGCUAGAAUCUGGCAGAGGGGGGUAGAAUUCCACGUGUAGCAGUGAAAUGCGUAGAGAUGUGGAGGAACACCGAUGGCGAAGGCAGCCCCCUGGGUCAAGAUUGACGCUCAUGCACGAAAGGCGUGGGGAGCAAACGAGGAUUACG